GAUGAACGCUGGCGGCGUGCCUAAUACAUGCAAGUCGAGCGAACAGACGAGGAGCUUGCUCCUCUGACGUUAGCGGCGGACGGGUGAGUAACACGUGGAUAACCUACCUAUAAGACUGGGAUAACUUCGGGAAACCGGAGCUAAUACCGGAUAAUAUAUUGAACCGCAUGGUUCAAUAGUGAAAGACGGUUUUGCUGUCACUUAUAGAUGGAUCCGCGCCGCAUUAGCUAGUUGGUAAGGUAACGGCUUACCAAGGCAACGAUGCGUAGCCGACCUGAGAGGGUGAUCGGCCACACUGGAACUGAGACGCGGUCCAGACUCCUACGGGAGGCAGCAGUAGGGAAUCUUCCGCGAUGGGCGAAAGCCUGACGGAGCAACGCCGCGUGAGUGAUGAAGGUCUGCGGAUCGUAAAACUCUGUUAUUGGGGAAGAACAAAUGUGUAAGUAACUAUGCACGUCUUGACGGUACCUAAUCAGAAAGCCACGGCUAACUACGUG
rnacentral:rRNA from 1 species